CACGUAGGGCGCAAGCGUUGUCCGGAAUUAUUGGGCGUAAAGAGCUCGUAGGCGGUCUGUUGCGUCCGCUGUGAAAACUCGGGGCUUAACCCCGAGCCUGCAGUGGAUACGGGCAGACUAGAGGUAGGUAGGGGAGAAUGGAAUUCCCGGUGUAGCAGUGAAAUGCGUAGAGAUCGGGAGGAACAUCAGUUGCGAAGGCGGCUCUCUGGACCAGCACUGACACUGAGGCACGAAAGCGUGGGGAGCAAACAGG
rnacentral:rRNA from 1 species